rnacentral:miRNA from 1 species
UGAGGCAGGAGAAUUGCUUGAACCCAGGAGGUGGAGGCUGCAGUGAGCCGAGAUCAAGCCACUGCACUCCAGCCUGGGUGACAGAGCGAGACUCCAUCUC